rnacentral:rRNA from 1 species
UACAGAGGUCUCAAGCGUUGUUCGGAUUCAUUGGGCGUAAAGGGUGUGUAGGUGGCGCCGUAAGUCGGGUGUGAAAUUUCGGAGCUUAACUCCGAAACUGCAUUCGAUACUGCGGUGCUUGAGGACUGGAGAGGAGACUGGAAUUCAUGGUGUAGCAGUGAAAUGCGUAGAGAUCAUGAGGAACACCAAUUGCGAAGGCAGCUCGCUGGGACGUAACUGACGCUGAGACGCGAAAGCGUGGGGAGCAAACAGG